rnacentral:rRNA from 1 species
CAGUCGCCGCGGGAAUACGGAGGGAGCUAGCGUUGUUCGGAAUUACUGGGCGUAAAGCGCGCGUAGGCGGUUACUCAAGUCAGAGGUGAAAGCCCGGGGCUCAACCCCGGAACUGCCUUUGAAACUAGGUGACUAGAAUCUUGGAGAGGUCAGUGGAAUUCCGAGUGUAGAGGUGAAAUUUGUAGAUAUUCGGAAGAACACCAGUGGCGAAGGCGACUGACUGGACAAGUAUUGACGCUGAGGUGCGAAAGCGUGGGGAGCAAACAGGAUUAGAUACCCGGGUAGUCCCUGUCUCUUAUAC